UGAAAUUCCAAGCAUGUAUGUAACAAAACUCACAAACAAGCAGAAAAAGAAAAUAAAGAAUUCCGAAAGUGCAGUAGGCAUUCUGAAAG